rnacentral:rRNA from 1 species
GAUGAACGCUGGCGGCGUGCCUAAUACAUGCAAGUCGAGCGAACAGGUAAGGAGCUUGCUCCUUUGACGUUAGCGGCGGACGGGUGAGUAACACGUGGGUAACCUACCUAUAAGACUGGGAUAACUUCGGGAAACCGGAGCUAAUACCGGAUAAUAUUUCGAACCGCAUGGUUCGAUAGUGAAAGAUGGUUUUGCUAUCACUUAUAGUUGGACCCGCGCCGUAUUAGCUAGUUGGUAAGGUAACGGCUUACCAAGGCGACGAUACGUAGCCGACCUGAGAGGGUGAUCGGCCACACUGGAACUGAGACACGGUCCAGACUCCUACGGGAGGCAGCAGUAGGGAAUCUUCCGCAAUGGGCGAAAGCCUGACGGAGCAACGCCGCGUGAGUGAUGAAGGUCUUCGGAUCGUAAAACUCUGUUAUUAGGGAAGAACAUACGUGUAAGUAACUGUGCACGUCUUGACGGUACCUAAUCAGAAAGCCACGGCUAACUACGUG